rnacentral:rRNA from 1 species
UACGUAGGGAGCAAGCGUUGUCCGGAAUCAUUGGGCGUAAAGCGCGCGUAGGUGGCCCCAUAAGUCCGCUGUGAAAGUCAAAGGCUCAACCUUUGAAAGCCGGUGGAUACUGUGGGACUAGAGUACGGAAGAGGCGAGUGGAAUUCCUGGUGUAGCGGUGGAAUGCGCAGAUAUCUGGAGGAACACCGGUGGCGAAGGCGGCAUCCUGGACCAACACUGACGCUGAGGAGCGAAAGCCAGGGGAGCAAACGGG